UACGGGGGGAGCAAGCGUUGUUCGGAAUAACUGGGCGUAAAGGGAGUCUAGGCGGUUUGGUAAGUGGGAUGUGAAAUCCCCGGGCUCACCCCGGGACCUGCAUCCCAAACUGCUGAGCUUGAGUACAGGAGAGGGUGGGGGAAUUCCAGGUGUAGCGGUGAAAUGCGUAGAUAUCUGGAGGAAUACCGGUGGCGAAGGCGGCAUCCUGGACCAUUACUGACGCUGAGGCGCGAAAGCUAGGGGAGCAAACGGG
rnacentral:rRNA from 1 species